UACGAAGGGGGCUAGCGUUGCUCGGAAUUACUGGGCGUAAAGGGCGCGUAGGCGGGCUGACAAGUCUGGGGUGAAAUGCCGCGGCUCAACCGUGGAACUGCCUUAGAUACUGUCGGCCUCGAGGGAGGUAGGGGCAUGCGGAACUGUAGGUGGAGCGGUGAAAUGCGUUGAUAUCUACAGGAACUCCGGUGGCGAAAGCGGCGUGCUGGACCUCUCUGACGCUGAGGCGCGAAGCUAGGGAGCAAACGGGA
rnacentral:rRNA from 1 species